UUAAAGGGGUCCACGAACGAAAGAGGAAGGGAGAGAAACGAGAGGGAUUCAGAGGGUGGGAGUGGUAAGUGGGGAAGAGAGAAGACGAGAGGGAUGCUGGGGCGGUUCAGGCGAGACCGAGUUCACGCCAAGUAGAGUACGACAGUUUGUGUCAGACUACGGAGCUCGAAAGAUGCUCUCGGUUGUUCACGAGACGGGUGGACCACCCUCGUCGCGACGACGGUGUCGCGCCAUCGCGGUCUCCCUCGGUAUCGUCGCGUCGGCCGUUCGCGGAGAAGCCGAAAAGAACGCGGGAAACAGCGGUGCCGGUAGGAUCAGCAGACCAACAUCUACUGCCACGAUGAUGACUAUGGCCUUAACCGUCCUUUUGAUCCUGGUGCCCGCGGUAUUUCCAGACAAGAUUUCCAUCGGUGCCAUUUUCGAGCAAGGUACCGACGAAGUGCAGUCCGCUUUCAAGAUCGCGAUGAAGAACCACAACCAAAAUAUUACGACUCGCAAAUUUGAGCUGCAAGCCUUCGUGGAUGUAAUUAACACUGCGGACGCCUACAAGCUAUCUCGUCUAAUUUGUAACCAGUUUAGCAGAGGCGUAUUUUCAAUGUUGGGUGCCGUAAGUCCAGAUUCAUUCGACACGUUGCAUUCUUAUAGCAACACCUUCCAGAUGCCAUUCGUGACACCCUGGUUUCCUGAAAAGGUUCUGACGCCGUCCUCGGGUCUCCUGGACUUCGCCAUAAGUAUGCGGCCGGAUUACCAUCGCGCUAUCAUCGAUACGGUGCGAUACUACGGUUGGAAGAAAAUCAUCUACCUCUACGACUCCCACGAUGGACUGCUCAGGCUGCAGCAGAUUUAUCAGGGCUUGAAACCAGGCAACGAGUCCUUUCAAGUCGAAACCGUCAAGAGAAUACAGAAUAUGUCGGAGGCGAUUGAUUUUCUACGGAGUCUUGAAGAACUUAACCGAUGGAGCAAUAAAUACGUCGUGCUCGACUGUCCGACGGAUAUGGCGAAGGAUAUUGUUGUGAGCCACGUGAGGGAUAUAGCUUUGGGAAAGAGGACGUAUCAUUAUCUGCUGAGUGGCUUGAUAAUGGACGACCGAUGGGAGAGCGAGGUGAUCGAGUUUGGCGCCAUCAACAUCACGGGCUUUCGCAUCGUGGAUGUCACUCGACCUCACGUCAAGGACUUCCUGGCCGGCUGGCAUCGCCAGGAUCCCGCCAUAUCUCAAGCCGGUCGUGAAUCCAUUUCCGCACAAGCCGCUCUGAUGUAUGACGCCGUGUUCGUCUUGGUUGAAGCUUUCAACAAGUUUUUGAGAAAAAGAACUGAUAAAAAUAAUACACGACGUAUAGGAACUCCAAGCAGUAAUCAGCCCAUAAACGGAACAAAAACUUUAGAUUGCUACAACAAUCGUGGCUGGGUCACUCCGUGGGAACAUGGCGACAAAAUCUCGAAAUUUUUAAGAAAGGUUGAGAUCGAAGGACUAACGGGAGAGAUACGAUUCAAUGACGAUGGUCGACGACAAAAUUAUACGCUUCAUGUCGUCGAAAUGACUGUCAAUAGUGCUAUGGUGAAAGUCGCCGAGUGGACCGAUGAAACUGGUUUUCAAGCCAUAGCCGCAAAAUAUGUGCGACUUCGUCCUCAUGAAGUUGAGAAGAAUAAAACUUACAUCGUUACUACAAUAAUGGACGAUCCUUAUAUAAUGAGGAAAAUAUCGGACACUGGUGAAGUAUUAGUUGGAAAUGAUAGUUAUGAAGGAUAUUGUAAAGACUUGGCUGAUCUCAUCGCCAAAAGAUUAGGCAUAUCAUACGAGCUGCGGAUCGUGAAGGACGGAAAAUACGGCGAGGAAAACCAGGACGUCCCGGGUGGCUGGGACGGCAUGGUCGGGGAGCUUAUCAGAAAGGAAGCCGACAUAGCGAUUGCUCCCAUAACUAUCACCUCCGACCGGGAACGCGUGAUCGAUUUUAGUAAACCGUUUAUGUCUCUCGGCAUCAGCAUUAUGAUAAAAAAACCCAUCAAACAAAAAUCCGGAGUCUUCAGUUUUCUGAAUCCGCUGAGCAAGGAAAUCUGGGUGUGCGUCAUUUUUUCCUACAUCGCAGUUUCUAUCGUCCUAUUUAUUGUGUCGAGGUUUUCGCCAUACGAGUGGAGAGUCCUCACCAUCAGCGGUAGCACGGAUUCAGCUAUUAGCGGACGAAACGAUCCCAGUUUGCAGCAUCCGCAUACACCGCAAGGUUCACCCCACAUGCCAACUUCCAGCAUGGCCAACGACUUUAGUAUCGUAAAUAGCCUCUGGUUUGCUCUGGCGGCGUUUAUGCAACAGGGCUGCGAUAUCUCGCCCAGAUCCAUAUCUGGCCGCAUAGCUGGCAGCGUCUGGUGGUUUUUCACUCUGAUUUUAAUAUGCUCCUAUACCGCAAAUCUCGCUGCAUUUUUAACCAUCGAGAGAAUGGUCACGCCAAUUAACUCACCCGAGGAUUUAGCGGCGCAGACAGAUGUCCAGUAUGGCACUCUCGCUCAUGGCGCUACGAUGGAUUUUUUUCGAAAAUCUCAGAUCAGUCUCUAUAGCAAGAUGUGGGAGUUCAUGAACUCGCGGAAGCAUGUAUUCGUAAAAUCCUACGAGGAGGGAAUACGAAGAGUGAGAACGAGUAAGGGCAAAUACGCAUUUUUAAUCGAGAGCCCGAUGAAUGACUACACCAACGAGAGAGAGCCCUGCGACACGAUGAAAGUCGGAAGAAAUCUCGAUGCCAAGGGAUUCGGUGUCGCGACACCGUUAGGAUCCCCUCUCAGGGAUCCCAUAAACUUGGCGGUGCUGUCACUGAAGGAAAAUGGAGAACUGGCAAAGCUGGUCGAACGAUGGUGGUAUGAAAGGACGGAAUGCAGGCACAGUGAUAAACCAGAUACAGCCAGAAACGAAUUAUCACUGAGCAACGUAGCAGGAAUAUUUUAUAUCCUCAUCGGUGGUCUCCUUCUGGCGCUCGCCGUAGCUCUCUUGGAAUUCUGCUACAAGUCGCAUACAGAAGCGACAAGAGCGAAGAUACCACUAUCAGACGCGAUGAAGGCGAAAGCACGACUAACCAUCGGUGGUGGUCGCGAUUUCGACAAUGGACGGUGGUACGGACUGCAGAGUUAGACGGAGGAUGCAUGCGCCUUUCCCGGGACCAUAUCGCGGGAAGAAACGAGUACUGGCUGCGGAGGUACCAACUUUGACUACGUUCGCGCCGAAGUACUACGCUCCAGCAAACGCGAUUGGGAAUACCGAGGGCGACCAGGUACACAGCAAUACACAUACCCAAGUGUAAAUUGUUACCUGGAGAGCCCG
rnacentral:misc_RNA from 1 species